rnacentral:rRNA from 1 species
AUUGAACGCUGGCGGCAGGCUUAACACAUGCAAGUCGAGCGGAGCGAGGGUGCUUGCACCUUAGCUUAGCGGCGGACGGGUGAGUAAUGCUUAGGAAUCUGCCUAUUAGUGGGGGACAACAUUCCGAAAGGGAUGCUAAUACCGCAUACGCCCUACGGGGGAAAGCAGGGGAUCUUCGGACCUUGCGCUAAUAGAUGAGCCUAAGUCGGAUUAGCUAGUUGGUGGGGUAAAGGCCUACCAAGGCGACGAUCUGUAGCGGGUCGGAGAGGACGAUCCGCCACACUGGGACUGAGACACGGCCCAGACUCCUACGGGAGGCAGCAGUGGGGAAUAUUGGACAAUGGGCGGAAGCCUGAUCCAGCCAUGCCGCGUGUGUGAAGAAGGCCUUUUGGUUGUAAAGCACUUUAAGCGAGGAGGAGGCUACUAGUAUUAAUACUACUGGAUAGUGGACGUUACUCGCAGAAUAAGCACCGGCUAACUCUGUGCCAGCAGCCGCCGCCGUAAC